AACGAACGCUGGCGGCAGGCCUAACACAUGCAAGUCGAGCGCGCCCUUCGGGGUGAGCGGCGGACGGGUGAGUAACGCGUGGGAACGUGCCCUUCUCUGCGGAAUAGCCUCGGUAAACUGAGAGUAAUACCGCAUACGCCCUUUGGGGGAAAGAUUUAUCGGAGAAGGAUCGGCCCGCGUUGGAUUAGGUAGUUGGUGGGGUAAUGGCCCACCAAGCCGACGAUCCAUAGCUGGUUUGAGAGGAUGAUCAGCCACACUGGGACUGAGACACGGCCCAGACUCCUACGGGAGGCAGCAGUGGGGAAUCUUAGAAAAUGGGGGCAACCCUGAACUAGCCAUGCCGCGUGAGUGAUGAAGGCCUUAGGGUUGUAAAGCUCUUUCAGCUGGGAAGAUAAUGACGGUACCAGCAGAAGAAGCCCCGGCUAACUCCGUG
rnacentral:rRNA from 1 species